rnacentral:rRNA from 1 species
GAUGAACGCUGGCGGCGUGCCUAAUACAUGCAAGUCGAGCGAACAGACGAGGAGCUUGCUCCUCUGACGUUAGCGGCGGACGGGUGAGUAACACGUGGAUAACCUACCUAUAAGACUGGGAUAACUUCGGGAAACCGGAGCUAAUACCGGAUAACAUGUUGAACCGCAUGGUUCAACAGUGAAAGACGGUCUUGCUGUCACUUAUAGAUGGAUCAGCGCCGCAUUAGCUAGUUGGUAAGGUAACGGCUUACCAAGGCAACGAGGCGUAGCCGACCUGAGAGGGUGAUCGGCCACACUGGAACUGAGACACGGUCCAGACUCCUACGGGAGGCAGCAGUAGGGAAUCUUCCGCAAUGGGCGAAAGCCUGACGGAGCAACGCCGCGUGAGUGAUGAAGGUCUUCGGAUCGUAAAACUCUGUUAUUAGGGAAGAACAAAUGUGUAAGUAACUAUGCACGUCUUGACGGUACCUAAUCAGAAAGCCACGGCUAACUACGUG